CGGCGGACGGGUGAGUAACGCGUGGGCAACCUGCCUCAUACAGGGGGAUAACAGUUAGAAAUGACUGCUAAUACCGCAUAAGACCGCGGUACCGCAUGGUACAGCGGUAAAAACUCUGGUGGUAUGAGAUGGGCCCGCGUCUGAUUAGCUAGUUGGCGGGGUAACGGCCCACCAAGGCGACGAUCAGUAGCCGACCUGAGAGGGUGACCGGCCACAUUGGGACUGAGACACGGCCCAAACUCCUACGGAAGGCAGCAG
rnacentral:rRNA from 1 species